rnacentral:rRNA from 1 species
GAAGGUGGCAAGCGUUAUUCGGAUUUACUGGGCGUACAGGGAGCGUAGGCGGUUCGGUAAGCCCUCUGUGAAAUCUUCAGGCUUAACCUGGAAAAGUCGGAGGGGACUGCUGGGCUAGAGGACGGGAGAGGAGCGCGGAAUUCCCGGUGUAGCGGUGAAAUGCGUAGAGAUCGGGAGGAAGGCCGGUGGCGAAGGCGGCGCUCUGGAACGUUUCUGACGCUGAGGCUCGAAAGCGUGGGGAGCAAACAGGAUUAGAUACCCUGGUAGUCCACGCCGUAAACGAUGGAUGCUAGCCGUUGGCCAGCUUGCUGGUCAGUGGCGCAGCUAACGCAUUAAGCAUCCCGCCUGGGGAGUACGGUCGCAAGAUUA